UUUCCGUAGGUGAACCUGCGGCAGGACCAUUAUAGAGAGAGAGAGAGAGAGAGAGGGAGAGGUUGGCGGGGCGGCCUGGAUGGUGUUGGGGCGUGGGCUGACGGCUGCCGGGGCACGGCGGGUUCACGCGAUGCCAUCAUCAUUGGUGGUAUGUAGGCGCGUGCUGCGGGCUAGCCGCGAAAUUUGCGCGCUUGUGUGUUUGUCAGAAUGGGCGAGAAAGAAAAAAGAAAUAAAGAAAACUUUUAACAAUGGAUCUCUUGGCUCUU
rnacentral:misc_RNA from 1 species